rnacentral:rRNA from 1 species
GCUCUUCCGAUCUGAGAGUUAUCCCGGGGUACUGAGUAUAAUCAAACUCCGAAUGCCAUAAGAUAUGCCCGGCAGUCAGACCGUGGGUGAUAAGGUCCAUGGUCAAAAGGGAAACAGCCCAGACCGCCAGUUAAGGUCCCAAAAUGCAUGCUGAGUGGAAAAGGAUGUGGGGAUGCACAGACAACUAGGAGGUUGGCUCAGAAGCAGCCACCCUUCAAAGAGUGCGUAACAGCUCACUAGUCGAGUGACCCUGCGCCGAAAAUGUACCGGGGCUAAGCAUGCUACCGAAGCUGCGGAUUUGUAUUAAUACAAGUGGUAGGGGAGCGUUCUAUGCAGCGUUGAAGCCAUAUCGUGAGGAGUGGUGGAGCGCAUAGAAGUGAGAAUGCCGGUGUGAGUAGCGAGAUGUAGGUGAGAAUCCUACACACCGAUAGCCCAAGGAUUCCAGGGGAAGGUUCGUCCGCCCUGGGUAAGUCGGGACCUAACGCGAGGCCGAAAGGCGUAGUGGAUGGAAAACAGGCAGAUAUUCCUGUACCCGCGAUGGAAAUGAAGGAAUGACGGAGAAGGUAAGUAUGACCCACUGAACGGAUUGUGGGCGAAGCGUAUAGCAGGAUGGCAGUGAAAUGCGUCAUCAGGAUGUAAAGCGUGAUAGGUAAGGGAACGCCUAAGGGCAAGUACCGAAGCAUAUGUAGCCAGCUUCCAGGAAAAGUUUCUAGUAUAUUCCAUAGCGGCCCGUACCAAAACCGACACAGGUGGGCAAGGAGAGGAUCCUGAGGUGAGCGAGAGAACUGUUGCCAAGGAACUCGGCAAAAUGACUCCGUAAGUUAGCGAGAAGGAGUGCUUAUGAAAGUAAGCCGCAGUGAAGAGGCCCAAGCGACUGUUUAACUAAAACACAGCUCUCUGCAAAGUCGCAAGACGAAGUAUAGGGGGUGACGCCUGCCCGGUGCUGGAAGGUUAAGAGGAUUUGUCAGUAGCGAUACGAAGCAAUGAAUUGAAGCCCCAGUGAACGGCGGCCGUAACUAUAACGGUCCUAAGGUAGCGAAAUUCCUUGUCAGGUAAG